rnacentral:rRNA from 1 species
GACGAACGCUGGCGGCGUGCCUAAUACAUGCAAGUAGAACGCACAGUUUAUACCGUAGCUUGCUACACCAUAGACUGUGAGUUGCGAACGGGUGAGUAACGCGUAGGUAACCUGCCUGGUAGCGGGGGAUAACUAUUGGAAACGAUAGCUAAUACCGCAUAAUAUUGAUUAUUGCAUGAUAAUUGAUUGAAAGAUGCUAUUGCAUCACUACCAGAUGGACCUGCGUUGUAUUAGCUAGUAGGUGAGGUAACGGCUCACCUAGGCGACGAUACAUAGCCGACCUGAGAGGGUGAGCGGCCACACUGGGACUGGGACACGGCCCAGACUCCUACGGGAGGCAGCAGUAGGGAAUCUUCGGCAAUGGACGAAAGUCUGACCGAGCAACGCCGCGUGAGUGAAGAAGGGUUUCGGAUCGUAAAGCUCUGUUGUAAGGGAAGAACGGGUGUGAGGGUGGAAAGUUCACACUGUGACGGUAUCUUACCAGAAAGGGACGGCUAACUACGUG